rnacentral:rRNA from 1 species
AUGGGGGCUACCAUUGAUCGUUCGAUAGAGGGUACGCGGAGUCCUAACCUUUACAAGAUUUGUGGUUAGGCCCAUCACCGUAUUGGCUCUCUUUUGCCAUCGAAAGAUGAGCCGCCUAAAUUCGCUGAGAUGUAUAUUUGUGACACUGCUAAUUAAGUGGACCAUAGGAUGAAUGCGGUCAAUGUAGAUGGUACUUCCCGAGGACAGUUAGCUCGUUCUAUUGUGGAGGGUUUAAAGGAUAUGCUUGACCAGAACAAUUCUUUGGUUAAGAAGUUUAGGAUGGCUAAAGAGAGGUUAGAGGAGCAUCCAGCUGAGCGUAUAGCUAUUAGGAUCAUUGCGCCUGGUGAAGGUGAUGGUCCACAGUAUAACCUGCCCACGGCUAAUGAGCUGGAGGCCCUGGUUGUUGGUGAUUUUACUUUAGAUGCGUCUUCUCGAGAUAUCAUGAUACAUGAUAGGGUUGAAGGGCUGCAGCAAAUUAAUUAUUUGCAUCUAGCCUAUAUGCCAUUGUAGUAUCCAUUGUUGUUCCCGUAUGGUGAGAGUGGUUUUCAAAUUGAUGUUCCAUACAAAGGAUUGCGGGCCGGGGAAAAGACCAGGGUUGAAGUUACUAUGCAGGACUAUUACUGUUAUGCGUGUCAUUAUCGCCCGAAAUAGCCAAAUCCUUACUUAUGUUAUGGGUCUUUGUCUUCACAAGUUGUUGUUGACUGUCGCGCUUGCAUUGAUGAGCAGCGACUUUGGUACAUACUUAGGCACCAGGAUGAUUUUCGAUCUGAGCAUAUGCAGGGUGUUACAGAUGCAGUUGGCCAGGGUUAUGUGAAUGGCUAG